UACAGAGGUCUCAAGCGUUGUUCGGAUUCAUUGGGCGUAAAGGGUGCGUAGGCGGCGCGGUAAGUCGGGUGUGAAAUUUCGAGGCUUAACUUCGAAACUGCAUUCGAUACUGCCGUGCUAGAGGACUGGAGAGGAGACUGGAAUUUACGGUGUAGCGGUGAAAUGCGUAGAUAUCGUAAGGAAGACCAGUGGCGAAGGCGGGUCUCUGGGCUGACACUGACGCUCAUGCACGAAAGCGUGGGGAGCAAACAGG
rnacentral:rRNA from 1 species